rnacentral:rRNA from 1 species
UGCGUAGGCGGGCUAAUAAGUCAGUGGUGAAAUCUUUCGGCUCAACCGAGAAACUGCCAUUGAUACUGUUAGUCUUGAGUUCGGUUGAGGUAGGCGGAAUGUGUAAUGUAGCGGUGAAAUGCUUAGAUAUUACACAGAACACCAAUUGCGUAGGCAGCUUACUAGACCGACACUGACGCUGAGGCACGAAAGCGUUGGGAGCGAACAGGAUUAGAUACCCUGGUAGUCC